rnacentral:rRNA from 1 species
AGAGUUUGAUCAUGGCUCAGAACGAACGCUGGCGGCGUGCCUAACACAUGCAAGUCGAGCGCGAAUGGAGCAAUCCUAGUAGAGCGGCGCACGGGUGCGUAACACGUGGAUAAUCUGCCUGGGUGUCUGGGAUAACCAGUCGAAAGAUUGGCUAAUACCGGAUAAGCCCCCGGGAGCUUCGGCUCCUGAGGGAAAAAGGUGGCCUCUGUAUACAAGCUAUCACAUCCAGAUGAGUCCGCGGCCCAUCAGCUAGUUGGCGGGGUAAUGGCCCACCAAGGCAACGACGGGUAGCUGGUCUGAGAGGACGAUCAGCCACACUGGAACUGAGACACGGUCCAGACUCCUACGGGAGGCAGCAGUGGGGAAUUUUGCGCAAUGGGCGAAAGCCUGACGCAGCAACGCCGCGUGUGUGAUGAAGGUCUUCGGAUUGUAAAGCACUUUCGACCGGGACGAAAACCCUGAAGCUAACAUCUUCAGGCUUGACGGUACCGGGAGAAGAAGCACCGGCUAACUCUGUGCCAGCAGCCGCGGUAAUACAGAGGGUGCAAGCGUUGUUCGGAAUUAUUGGGCGUAAAGCGCGUGUAGGCGGCUUUGCAAGUCGGGUGUGAAAGCCCUCAGCUCAACUGAGGAAGUGCGCCCGAAACUGCAGAGCUUGAGUGCCGGAGAGGGUGGCGGAAUUCCCCAAGUAGAGGUGAAAUUCGUAGAUAUGGGGAGGAACACCGGUGGCGAAGGCGGCCACCUGGACGGUAACUGACGCUGAGACGCGAAAGCGUGGGGAGCAAACAGGAUUAGAUACCCUAGUAGUCC